AACCUAAUAACAACUACAUUAGCAUAGCACGGCCCUGAAUAUAAUAACUAACCUAAUAACAACUACAUUAGCAUAGCACGGCCCUGAAUAUAAUAAGAGUAAAAAAAAAAGUCCAUCUGUUAUAUUUCACACAAAUAUACUCAACCAAAUCCUCUCCACAGAGCAAUGCAGUCGACAUGAAUGGACUAAAACCUGUCAGGUGAGACAGUGUAUAUAGACGUGUUAUGUUGGCCUUCUGUACAUCCCCACCCCUGAAACUAAAGCGUCACCUCAGCUUUAAAGAUGUGAAGCAUAUUUGCAUCUGGUGGACCCUCAUUUAAAAUGUGCUUCCCGGUAGGGGUGAGCUGAUGGCAUGUUCUCCUAACCCAUAAAGAUUGAUAAUAAAAUAAAACUGAGUUGUGAAAAGCCAUUUGAACAUGGUCUUAAAUAAGAAAAUGUGUUUUGUUAAUAAACCCCUGAUAUUUAUUGUCCCAAAAUAAGGCUCUGGUUUCUAGGCACACCAAGGUAACUGAGCUAUAAUGUGCAUUCAAUGUUAAACGACUGGUGAUUUGCUAUAGUGAUCAUCAGUAAUAGAUUUCAGACAAAAGCCAGAGCAGAGGAGACAAACAAGUGCAUCAUUGGCAAAAACUGCUGGUGAAAUAGAAGUGCAUAUUGAGUCUGUGCACAUACUGUAGUACUGUAUGCGUUUGUAGUACUGUAUGCGUUUGUGGUACUGUAUGCGUUUGUAGUACUGUAUGCGUUUGAGGUACUGUAUGCGUUUGAGGUACUGUAUGCGUUUGUAGUACUGUAUGCGUUUGAGCUACUGUAUGUGUUUGUGGUACUGUAUGCGUUUGUAGUACUGUAUGCGUUUGUAGUACUGUAUGCGUUUGUGGUACUGUAUGCGUUUGUAGUACUGUAUGCGUUUGUAGUACUGUAUGCGUUUGUAGUACUGUAUGUGUUUGUAGUACUGUAUGUGUUUGUAGUACUGUAUGUGUUUGUAGUACUGUAUGCGUGCGUACUGUAUUCGUUUUAGUACUGUAUGUGGUUGUAGUACUGUAUGCGUGCGUACUGUAUGCGUUGUAGUACUGUAUGCGUUUGUAUACUGUAUGUGUUUGUAGUACUGUAUGUGUUUGUAGUACUGUAUGCGUGCGUACUGUAUGCGUUUUAGUACUGUAUGUGUUUGUAGUACUGUAUGCGUGCGUGUGCAUGUGAGCAAGCGCAUAUUAAAAAGAGGUAGCAGAGGACAAUCAGAGCAAAAACAAAAAGAUUCCAAAACAGUGCUGUAUUACUCAAUCUUUCCUCAUCUCUCUCGCUCAUAAAGAAAAACUUCCACGCUUCUCAAGAACGUAGGUAGAUAACUGCCCAGACUCAUCAACCAUCACCACAAAAAAACUGACACACACACGUUUUCAUUGAAUCCUUUACAGAAACCCGUUUAAAACGGUAUGCUUAGUUGGUAAAGCACUGUGCUACCAUGGGGCUGUGUCCUUUACAUCCACGUGAUACAAAAAAGCCCUGGAUUGCAGAACCAUGAGCUAAAAGGGGCAGUAGAACACAGAGCUGGGGGCAGACCGAGCCGGUGACUGAGCAGCUGGCUGCAAAGCAGACAUGGAAAUCAUCAAGACAGGAUAUAAACAUGAUAAGCGGUUCAUAAGAAAAUCCAUCAAUCUUAACACUACGACAUCAUACACACACUCUGCAGUUCGCUAACUGACGCUAACUGAGGCCUCUAGCGUGGAAGUGAUGUUAAAAUACCCCGGUUCACAAGCUGUUCAAUCCCAGUUAGCAUAAAUGGGUUGAACACUUAAUACAAAGAUGAGCCGUUUCAGCCCCCCCCAACAGACAGACAGACGUGGAGUAACAACCGUUUCCUCUUGAUCUGUAGGCUUAUUUUUGAGGUGUGUUGAGAUAAAUCAUCCAGCAUUUGAGAAGUAAAAUGAAUAAAUACAAUGAAUUAGUAUUAAAAUAAGAAAAGAUGAAACACAAUCAUGCCAAAAAUACAUGUGCAAUGGGAGAGGUAGUUUGUUUUGGUUAAAACAGGGCUCUAUACAAUGAACUAACAAGGAUUAAGGAGUCAGCUUGUUUCCCACAUCACCAGAGCAAUACAACAAAGCCACCAACAGCAGCAGCAACCAUACAGGCCAAAAUAUAGGCAGGGCCGUUGUGAUCAGUGCCUCAUCAGGAACCUGUCUGCAAUAAUCGACUGAUCUAAACAAUACAUUGAAAGAAGAAAAUGUAUUACCUUCAUGUAUUAUUUUAGCCAAUCCAGGUGACGUCAUAGUAAACCUAAAAAGGUACUGAUCACAGAAGCCCUGCCUGAACUCAGCCAUGGUGACUACAUGAUAUACAUAUUAUUACCGAGUCAUUCCUCGGCCUCGCUUAUUCCUCAAAAAUAUUGAUUAGGACUGGACUUUUGACAGUGGCAGCGGGAACCAUGGAUUUAGAUUCACUGACUCUUUGUUUACAUUGAGGACCGUUGUUUAUAUCGCCUGCCUCUUUUACACAUGAUUAUCGCGCUGCGAUUAGAAAAACAGACAAUGGAUCCCUAUACAUGGCCUGCAACACAGCCCUCGAGGCAGUUUUUCUUCAAAGGAACCUGGCAACUUUUUGCUUGAUAAAAAAACAGAACACUGCAUAAGUUGCUGAAGAAACGUCAUGGUGUGUGUGUCACAUGUUUGGUUCCCUUCUAUUCUAUUAUGAAAGUGUUCAGUUUCAUUGAGGUAUCUGUUAAAUGUUUAACAGGGUUUUGUAAGGCUACUGAGGUGGAGUUGCUGACCUGCAUUGGGAGAGGGGUGCAGUUUUUGGGGCGGUCUUUCUGAGCCAGCUUGGCAGCAGGCAGAGAGAGCUCUUGGAGGAGUUCCUCCCAUCAGAACCCCUGACCCGAUCUUUCCUGCAUUCCUUUAAAUGGAUUUAUGUAUAUGUGAUAGAAUGCAACAACAAAAGAGUAUGCUUUCUCCACAACACCUGGUCUACACACAGUGGGGUCUGGACAUCUGCUGCAAUGGGAGAAAAUAUCAGACUUUGGCUCAGGAGCUCUGUACACUGCACUUCUGUGAUUCUUACUUUCUAUACACUUCUAUACAGUCACUCCUUUAUUCACACCUGAGCCCACCUCCCCAAACUCUCACCACUGGAUCAGUUCAGUGUUAAUCAGUUCCCAGGUAAGAGACGUCACACCUUCCAUCGGUGUGACAUAUCCAAAGCCGCUGCUCACAAUCUCAGUCCCAUCAGCUCUUGAUGCACUACAGCUGUUGAGUUGGUCCUGAAUGGAUGCCGUCGCAUUAAAGCUAUGAAGAGUUCUGCCAGGCUGGCCGGCGUGUUGGAGAGAGAGGCAUGUCCGCCACGACGGCGACUGAUUGGCCUUUAUCCUUGUCUGUUUGAGUUGAGGCAGUGUUAGUAGUAAAGAGCAUGAACAAG
ensembl:lncRNA